GGUUAAGCGACUAAGCGUACACGGUGGAUGCCCUGGCAGUCAGAGGCGAUGAAGGGCGUGCUAAUCUGCGAUAAGCGCCGGUAAGGUGAUAUGAACCGUUAUAACCGGCGAUACCCGAAUGGGGAAACCCAGUGUGAUUCGUCACACUAUCAUUAACUGAAUCCAUAGGUUAAUGAGGCGAACCGGGGGAACUGAAACAUCUAAGUACCCCGAGGAAAAGAAAUCAACCGAGAUUCCCCCAGUAGCGGCGAGCGAACGGGGAGGAGCCCAGAGCCUGAAUCAGCAUGUGUGUUAGUGGAAGCGUCUGGAAAGGCGCGCGAUACAGGGUGACAGCCCCGUACACAAAAGCGCAUAUGCUGUGAGCUCGAUGAGUAGGGCGGGACACGUGGUAUCCUGUCUGAAUAUGGGGGGACCAUCCUCCAAGGCUAAAUACUCCUGACUGACCGAUAGUGAACCAGUACCGUGAGGGAAAGGCGAAAAGAACCCCGGCGAGGGGAGUGAAAAAGAACCUGAAACCGUGUACGUACAAGCAGUGGGAGCCCCACCACUAAGCCAGUGGUGAACUCCACAUACGCAUCCUUUGCUGAGGAUACGGUUAACGGAGCGAAAGCGACGUUCAACCUCAAAAGAAGCAGAGGGGGCUUAGUGGUGGGGUGACUGCGUACCUUUUGUAUAAUGGGUCAGCGACUUAUAUUCUGUAGCAAGGUUAACCGAAU
rnacentral:rRNA from 1 species